AACUUGAGAGUUUGAUCCUGGCUCAGAACGAACGCUGGCGGCAGGCUUAACACAUGCAAGUCGAACGCACCGCAAGGUGAGUGGCAGACGGGUGAGUAACACGUGGGAAUCUACCCAGCUCUACGGAAUAACCCAGGGAAACUUGGGCUAAUACCGUAUACGUCCGAUAGGAGAAAGAUUUAUCGGAGUUGGAUGAGCCCGCGUCCGAUUAGCUAGUUGGUGGGGUAAUGGCCUACCAAGGCAACGAUCAGUAGCCGACCUUAGAGGGUGAUCGGCCACACUGGGACUGAGAACGGCCCAGACUCCUACGGGAGGCAGCAGUGGGGAAUAUUGGACAAUGGGCGCAAGCC
rnacentral:rRNA from 1 species